GAGAACAGAGCAAAGACUCUUGCCUUUGUGGAGGCCAGAAAUUUAAUACUCAUGUAAAUAAGUGAAUUUACUUGUAUGUUAGAGGGUGAUGUAUGCUGUAUGGGGGGGGGAUAAAAAUAAAGCAGGGUAAGGUUGAUCAGAAGUAAGGGAUACAAUUUUAAACAGUUUGGUCAAGAUGAAUUUCAAUGAGAAGAUGACAUCUCAGAAAAGACAUGAAGGGCCUGGAUGAUAGUGGAGAUAAGACUGAAGUUGCCAUCAGCUAAGAUGACGAAGGCUGAAUGUAAAUCAGAUUUGUAGAAGAAGACGGAGGUCUCAGUUUUAGAUAUGUUGAAUUUUAAAUAUCCACCAGAUAUUUGAGAAAAGAGAUGAUGUUGAAUAAGCAGUGGAAUGCAUGAGUCAAAAAUUCAGUUGACAAGUGUGCACAGCGGAGAACAAAUUGUGAGUCAUGGCCUAAGAUGAUAUUUAAAGCCAUGAGAUUGCAUGAGAUCAGUAAAAAGUUAGAGUAAAAAAGACCAAGUCUUAGAACUGAUGUGUUGCAGCUUUAGUAAGUUGGGGAGAAGAGGAACCAGCAGAGGGGAUAGAGAAGAUGAAGCCAAUGAAGUAGGAAGACAACCAAAAGACUGAGGUGAACUGGAAGCCAAAUGAAGAAAGUGUAUUACGGAUGACAGAGUGAUCACUGCUACUGACUGUCAAACGAGCCACGAAGUUUUGGGGGCAGUUUGUUAUGCAGCACGAUAUGACUAAUUCAGAGGAGAACUCAAGACAGCUCAUCUAUAGCAACAGGCAGAUAUACAGAGCACAUGAAUGCCGAGUCUGUGGUAGGGACCUGAAGCUACUACCAUGGGACCACGUGGGGAGACCAUACAGAGCUAGAGAUACAUGCCCACAGAGCUCCAGCUGUUCAAGUCUUCACUGCUUUGGCCCCAG